AAGACUAUAUGUUCAGGGAUUGUUUCUCUUGUUCAUUACUUGAAAAGUGUCUCUCAAGUGUGGAGUACCGGAAACCAUGAGGAGGAGGUACAGCGUCCCUUCCUGAGCGUGAAGCUGACUCUGGGUGUUGUUUUUGCAGCUGCCCUUGUCCUGGAUGAUUGUUCUCUCCUUUCUUAGGAGGCUAAGAGGAAAGGGGUGCACUGUCUGAGUGGU